rnacentral:rRNA from 1 species
ACGGAAGGCAGCAGUGAGGAAUAUUGGUCAAUGGGCGUGAGCCUGAACUAGCCAAGUAGCGUGAGGGAUGACUGCCCUAUGGGUUGUAAACCUCUUUUGUUUGGGAAUAAAGUCAGGGACGCGUCCCUGUUUGUACGUACCUUUCGAAUAAGCAUCGGCUAAUUCCGUGCCAGCAGCCGCGGUAAUACGGAAGAUGCGAGCGUUAUCCGGAUUUAUUGGGUUUAAAGGGAGCGUAGGCGGACUGUUAGGUCUGUGGUCAAAUGUCAGGGCCCAACCUUGGCAUGCCAUGGAAACCGGCGGUCUUGAAUACACGCAAGGCAGAUGGAAUUCGUCGUGUAGCGGUGAAAUGCUUAGAUAUGACGAAGAACUCCGAUUGCGAAGGCAGUCUGCUGGAGUGCGAUUGACGCUGAGGCUCGAAAGCGCGGGUAUCAAACAGGAUUAGAUACCCUGGUA